GGGCGAUUAGCUCAGUUGGUUAGAGCGCCACCUUUACACGGUGGAUGUCGGGGGUUCGAAUCCCUCAUCGCCCACCC
rnacentral:tRNA from 1 species